rnacentral:ribozyme from 1 species
CGUAAUGCGUUGCUAAUGGGGUAGGAUCCGAAGCCUUGUAAAGCAUGUCACAGAUUUUCCUACUCAACUAAAAUUCCGUCACGUCCCCGUCGUGCAUAGUGUUAACCUGCCCCACUGCAUAUUGGGUAAACGGGCCAGUUUCAACCCCUUGGGUGGAUGAUGGAGCAUGGCUGAACUGAAGGAG